rnacentral:rRNA from 1 species
UACGAAGGGGGCUAGCGUUGUUCGGAAUUACUGGGCGUAAAGCGCGCGCAGGCGGUUCUUCAAGUCAGAGGUGAAAGCCCAGAGCUCAACUCUGGAAUGGCCUUUGAGACUAGAGAACUAGGGUACGGGAGAGGUGAGUGGAAUUCCGAGUGUAGAGGUGAAAUUCGUAGAGAUCGGCAGGAACACCCAGGGAGAAAGCAGCCGCCUGGGCAAGUGCUGACGCUGAGGUGCGAAAGCGUGGGGAGCGAACCGG